GCGGUGGAGCAUGUGGUUUAAUUCGAAGCAACGCGCAGAACCUUACCAGCCCUUGACAUACCGGUCGCGGACACAGAGAUGUGUCUUUCAGUUCGGCUGGACCGGAUACAGGUGCUGCAUGGCUGUCGUCAGCUCGUGUCGUGAGAUGUUGGGUUAAGUCCCGCAACGAGCGCAACCCUCGCCCUUAGUUGCCAGCAUUUAGUUGGGCACUCUAAGGGGACUGCCGGUGAUAAGCCGAGAGGAAGGUGGGGAUGACGUCAAGUCCUCAUGGCCCUUACGGGCUGGGCUACACACGUGCUACAAUGGUGGUGACAGUGGGCAGCGAGCACGCGAGUGUGAGCUAAUCUCCAAAAGCCAUCUCAGUUCGGAUUGCACUCUGCAACUCGAGUGCAUGAAGUCGGAAUCGCUAGUAAUCGUGAAUCAGAAUGUCACGGUGAAUACGUUCCCGGGCCUU
rnacentral:rRNA from 1 species